UACGUAGGGUGCAAGCGUUGUCCGGAAUUAUUGGGCGUAAAGAGCUCGUAGGCGGCUUGUCGCGUCGUGUGUGAAAUCUCAGGGCUCAACUCUGACAUUGCAUACGAUACGGGCAGGCUUGAGUUCGGUAGGGGAGACUGGAAUUCCUGGUGUAGCGGUGAAAUGCGCAGAUAUCAGGAGGAACACCGGUGGCGAAGGCGGGUCUCUGGGUAGUAACUGACGCUGAGGAGCGAAAGCGUGGGUAGCGAACAGG
rnacentral:rRNA from 1 species